GAUGCCGUAAAUUAACAGGAUGAAAGAGAGUUACGCUACUUCCAGUGCUGGCUGUAAACAAGCUUUCAAAAAAUGAAGAAAUAUGCAAAUUUGCACAGCAUGUAAAACAACGCUGAUGAUGGUGAAGAGAAGCACAGCAUUGCCCAACUUGUUGAAUCCAUGGGCAGAUGGAGUCAAGGAAGCUCAUUACGUUUGUCAAUAUACAACAAAGUAUGUGUUUAGUCAGUUCCCUUGCCACUGUUGACAGUCUUUGUAAGUGAUCUUGGUUUUUAAAAGACACACUUACAUUUUUAAGGUUUAAGAUGUUUAUUGCAAUGGUGUCAUGCUCCACCAGACUGUUCAUGAUUAAACAAGAAGGUAUUUUGCCUGUGUAAAAAUGCUGACCUUUCUAUGAAUCAUCCAUGUUAUGAUUGUAAAAUUAACAUUCCUAACCAUUGAAUUAUAAAGACAAUGUUUCUGUAUCUCCACUUUUCUCGUGAUCAUUUUUUAUCAUCUUCUAGAGGAAAUGAACAGUGCUUGCCACAUUGACACUGACAAACGCAUCAUCACAAAUCUGUGAAAACUUUCUCACUUUGUGGAAAAGGUUCCAAAUGCUGCACUUAAGUAAGUUCUGCAGCUUACUUAGAAUUUGUGUGAAACUGACAUGGAGAGAAAUGGAGUGUGUUUGUCAACGUACUACACUAAUAUAUUGUUAAAGGGCAUUUUGUGUAUUGCAAAGUUUUUUGUUUUGGUUUAUUUCUUUAUGUUUUGCGAGGUUUUACACUGACAGCGACAAUGAAUUGUUUUAUUGCCACAUAGUGAUGUAAAUAUGUGUUCAUGCCAGGUUAGUGCUGCCAUCCUCUCAUGUCGUUGCUUUUUAAAGAAAAUGAGCCAGCACUGUCACUGAUCAGGAUCCUCUGUACCCAACUGCAACCAUUCUUCUAAAGGUCUGUGAAAAUAGGAACCCUUUGGCCAGUCUCUGCGUUUCCAAAGAGUACGGAUGGAGGGGACAUAUUUUCCAUAAUGGUGGUAUGUCUUGUAAUUAAUAGAAUCCAGUGUUAACCUGUAUUAAUGUUUAAGACUUCAGUCGUACUCUCUCCUCCACCCCCGUUUUAAAAGAAAAGAUAAAUAGUUAAGCCAGUUGCAUUAAUGUUCCUUAAAUGCAGUGAUUGAUUGCUACAAGGUGGCUUGUUUCUCUAUGAUGAAAUACAGUACAUUCAAAAGUUAAAUGUUCCUCUUUUCAGUAUUUAAUUCCAUUAAAAAGAAGAUUUUUGUAUUGCACUGUUUGAUAUUGUGCAAUUUUGUGUUGAUUGUUGAAAUGU